GGAAGUGUGCCAGAGUGGUUGAAUGGGCCGGUCUUGAAAACCGUUAGAGCAGAAAUGCUCUCGUGGGUUCGAAUCCCACCACUUCCU
rnacentral:tRNA from 1 species